CAUACGACGUGAUUUUGUCACGUCUGGACUGAAUCGUGCCGGUAAACAGCAGACAUCAACAGCUAUUUACUGACAAAUUUCCCAGUUCUGCUUGAGUGGUUGUCUGCUGGUUACUGGUGCGAGACGUUAUUCAACAACCGAGACGAUCCAGAGAUACAACCCGAAGCCUCGUCAUAACGCCGGUGUCGAAAAACAAACCUCAAAAACUGGAUGUUGCUAUGCUCUAGGAUCAAUUAUUCAAAAAUAAUUUGCUAGUGUUGCUGGUUGAGAGCUUAUGCCGCACGGGUUAGGAUUAAAAUCAUGGAUAAUCCGAGUUACCAGGAUAAUCCGAGUUACCAGGAGGAGACAGCCCGGAUAAACAAUGACAAGAAUGGAGUUAACAAGCCGGUCAAAGACAGUGGCAUAACUUUUGAAGAUAUGGGCAGUAGAGCCCCUGUCUUAUGUUCCAGCCGUCUAUCUCUAGCCAUCAUCUCAUGUCUCGGCUUCAUCAACCUCUACGCUCUUCGUGUCAACAUGAGCGUUGCCAUGGUGUGUAUGGUUAACCAAAACCGCCAUAAGACAACUCAGGGGGAACCAACUCUAAUGUAACGUCGUCACGAGCUAGCGCGUGCCAACAGGUCAACACGACGAGCUCUUCAGCGC